UACAUGCAGUCGACGAACUCUGGUAUUGAUUGGUGCUUGCAUCAUGAUUUACAUUUGAGUGAGUGGCGAACUGGUGAGUAACACGUGGGAAACCUGCCCAGAAGCGGGGGAUAACACCUGGAAACAGAUGCUAAUACCGCAUAACAACUUGGACCGCAUGGUCCGAGCUUGAAAGAUGGCUUCGGCUAUCACUUUUGGAUGGUCCCGCGGCGUAUUAGCUAGAUGGUGGGGUAACGGCUCACCAUGGCAAUGAUACGUAGCCGACCUGAGAGGGUAAUCGGCCACAUUGGGACUGAGACACGGCCCAAACUCCUACGGGAGGCAGCAGUAGGGAAUCUUCCACAAUGGACGAAAGUCUGAUGGAGCAACGCCGCGUGAGUGAAGAAGGGUUUCGGCUCGUAAAACUCUGUUGUUAAAGAAGAACAUAUCUGAGAGUAACUGUUCAGGUAUUGACGGUAUUUAACCAGAAAGCCACGGCUAACUACGUGCCAGCAGCCGCGGUAAUACGUAGGUGGCAAGCGUUGUCCGGAUUUAUUGGGCGUAAAGCGAGCGCAGGCGGUUUUUUAAGUCUGAUGUGAAAGCCUUCGGCUCAACCGAAGAAGUGCAUCGGAAACUGGGAAACUUGAGUGCAGAAGAGGACAGUGGAACUCCAUGUGUAGCGGUGAAAUGCGUAGAUAUAUGGAAGAACACCAGUGGCGAAGGCGGCUGUCUGGUCUGUAACUGACGCUGAGGCUCGAAAGUAUGGGUAGCAAACAGGAUUAGAUACCCUGGUAGUCCAUACCGUAAACGAUGAAUGCUAAGUGUUGGAGGGUUUCCGCCCUUCAGUGCUGCAGCUAACGCAUUAAGCAUUCCGCCUGGGGAGUACGGCCGCAAGGCUGAAACUCAAAGGAAUUGACGGGGGCCCGCACAAGCGGUGGAGCAUGUGGUUUAAUUCGAAGCUACGCGAAGAACCUUACCAGGUCUUGACAUACUAUGCAAAUCUAAGAGAUUAGACGUUCCCUUCGGGGACAUGGAUACAGGUGGUGCAUGGUUGUCGUCAGCUCGUGUCGUGAGAUGUUGGGUUAAGUCCCGCAACGAGCGCAACCCUUAUUAUCAGUUGCCAGCAUUAAGUUGGGCACUCUGGUGAGACUGCCGGUGACAAACCGGAGGAAGGUGGGGAUGACGUCAAAUCAUCAUGCCCCUUAUGACCUGGGCUACACACGUGCUACAAUGGAUGGUACAACGAGUUGCGAACUCGCGAGAGUAAGCUAAUCUCUUAAAGCCAUUCUCAGUUCGGAUUGUAGGCUGCAACUCGCCUACAUGAAGUCGGAAUCGCUAGUAAUCGCGGAUCAGCAUGCCGCGGUGAAUACGUUCCCGGGCCUUGUACACACCGCCCGUCACACCAUGAGAGUUUGUAACACCCAAAGUCGGUGGGGUAACCUUUUAGGAACCAGCCGCCUAA
rnacentral:rRNA from 1 species